rnacentral:rRNA from 1 species
GACGAACGCUGGCGGCGUGCCUAAUACAUGCAAGUAGAACGCUGAAGGAGGAGCUUGCUUCUCUGGAUGAGUUGCGAACGGGUGAGUAACGCGUAGGUAACCUGCCUGGUAGCGGGGGAUAACUAUUGGAAACGAUAGCUAAUACCGCAUAAUAGUAGAUGUUGCAUGACAUUUGCUUAAAAGGUGCAAUUGCAUCACUACCAGAUGGACCUGCGUUGUAUUAGCUAGUUGGUGAGGUAACGGCUCACCAAGGCGACGAUACAUAGCCGACCUGAGAGGGUGAUCGGCCACACUGGGACUGAGACACGGCCCAGACUCCUACGGGAGGCAGCAGUAGGGAAUCUUCGGCAAUGGACGGAAGUCUGACCUAGCAACGCCGCGUGAGUGAAGAAGGUUUUCGGAUCGUAAAGCUCUGUUGUAAGAGAAGAACGAGUGUGAGAGUGGAAAGUUCACACUGUGACGGUAUCUUACCAGAAAGGGACGGCUAACUACGUG